rnacentral:rRNA from 1 species
UACGUAGGGGGCGAGCGUUGUCCGGAUUCAUUGGGCGUAAAGAGCUCGUAGGCGGUUUGGCAAGUCGGGUGUGAAAUCUCUGGGCUCAACUCAGAGAGGCCACUCGAUACUGCUAUGACUAGAGUCCGGUAGGGGACCAUGGAAUUCCUGGUGUAGCGGUGAAAUGCGCAGAUAUCAGGAGGAACACCAAUGGCGAAGGCAGCACUCUGGGACGUGACUGACGCUGAGACGCGAAAGCGUGGGGAGCAAACAGG